AAAACUAUAUCACAUGUGUAACCCACAAGUGAACAGACCAGGUGAUUUUCCAGGGAAACAAAAAUGGCGUCGGUUCCAGAUAUGAAGGUUCCAGCUACCCAAAAUGAUGGGACAGACUCUUCAAACACACAGCUACUUGAAGACCUCCAAGACCAGUUGGUCUCCCUGAAGGAACAGAUGGAUCUAUGCAACACUGUUCUGAAGGACUUGGUGGACCUGCGGGGUAUUUUAAGGGAGAAGAACCUUAGCGAUGGAUCAUUCCCUGCUCCGAAGUGACUGAUUUUACUCAUGGUGGAAAUGUGAAUCAUUUAUGUCAAAUAAACUAUCAUAGAUCAACUUUUUCGCUUGGCCAAAAAUGG